rnacentral:rRNA from 1 species
CGGGGGGAGCAAGCGUUGUUCGGAUUUACUGGGCGUAAAGGGCGCGUAGGCGGCGCAACAAGUCGAUUGUCGAAAUCUCCGGGCUUAACUCGGAGCGGCCAAUCGAUACUGUCGUGCUAGAGUGCGGAAGGGGCUACUGGAAUUCUCGGUGUAGCGGUGAAAUGCGUAGAUAUCGAGAGGAACACCUGCGGCGAAGGCCGGGUAGCUGGGCCGACACUGACGCUAAGGCGCGAAAGCUAGGGGGAGCGAACGGGAUUAGAUACCCCGGUAGUCCUAGCCUUAAACGAUGGAUGCUUGGUGUCCGGGGUUACAAAGUCCCCGGGUGCCGUCGCUAACGCAUUAAGCAUCCCGCCUGGGGAGUACGGUCGCAAGACUG